rnacentral:rRNA from 1 species
UACGGAGGGUGCAAACGUUGCUCGGAAUCAUUGGGCGUAAAGCGCACGUAGGCGGUCUGUUAAGUCGGAUGUGAAAGCCCCGGGCUCAACCCGGGAAGUGCAUACGAAACUGGCGGACUUGAAUAUGGAAGAGGGUCGCGGAAUUCCCGGUGUAGAGGUGAAAUUCGUAGAUAUCGGGAGGAACACCGGUGGCGAAGGCGGUUCUCUGGGCCUGUACUGACGCUGAGGAACGAAAGCGUGGGGAGCGAACAGG